rnacentral:rRNA from 1 species
UGGGGGAUAUUGCACAAUGGGGGAAACCCUGAUGCAGCGACGCCGCGUGGAGGAAGAAGGUUUUCGGAUUGUAAACUCCUGUCGUUAGGGACGAUAAUGACGGUACCUAACAAGAAAGCACCGGCUAACUACGUGCCAGCAGCCGCGGUAAAACGUAGGGUGCAAGCGUUGUCCGGAAUUACUGGGUGUAAAGGGAGCGCAGGCGGACCGGCAAGUUGGAAGUGAAAACUAUGGGCUCAACUCAUAAAUUGCUUUCAAAACUGCUGGCCUUGAGUAGUGCAGAGGUAGGUGGAAUUCCCGGUGUAGCGGUGGAAUGCGUAGAUAUCGGGAGGAACACCAGUGGCGAAGGCGACCUACUGGGCACCAACUGACGCUGAGGCUCGAAAGCAUGGGUAGCAAACAGGAUUAGAUACCCUGGUAGUCCAUGCCGUAAACGAUGAUUACUAGGUGUUGGAGGAUUGACCCCUUCAGUGCCGCAGUUAACACAAUAAGUAAUCCACCUGGGGAGUACGACCGCAAGGUUGAAACUUAAAGGAAUUGACGGGGGCCCGCACAAGCAGUGGAGUAUGUGGUUUAAUUCGAAGCAACGCGAAGAACCUUACCAGGUCUUGACAUCCGAUGCAUAGUGCAGAGAUGCAUGAAGUCCUUCGGGACAUCGAGACAGGUGGUGCAUGGUUGUCGUCAGCUCGUGUCGUGAGAUGUUGGGUUAAGUCCCGCAACGAGCGCAACCCUUAUUGCCAGUUACUACGCAAGAGGACUCUGGCGAGACUGCCGUUGACAAAACGGAGGAAGGUGGGGAUGACGUCAAAUCAUCAUGCCCUUUAUGACCUGGGCUACACACGUACUACAAUGGCGUUUAACAAAGAGAAGCAAGACCGCGAGGUGGAGCAAAACUCAAAAACAACGUCUCAGUUCAGAUUGCAGGCUGCAACUCGCCUGCAUGAAGUCGGAAUUGCUAGUAAUCGCGGAUCAGCAUGCCGCGGUGAAUACGUUCCC